AACGUAGGAGACAAACGUUAUCCGGAGUUACUGGGCGUAAAGGGCGUGUAGGCGGUAUGUUAAGUCAUGUGUGAAAUCCCUCGGCUCAACCGGGGAACGACGCAUGAAACUGGCAAGCUAGAGUACCAAAGAGGGUGGUGGAAUUCCCGGUGUAGCGGUGAAAUGCGUAGAGAUGUGGAGGAACACCGAUGGCGAAGGCAGCCCCCUGGGCUAACACUGACGCUCAUGCACGAAAGCGUGGGGAGCAAACAGG
rnacentral:rRNA from 1 species